rfam:Schistosoma rodhaini strain Burundi genome assembly, scaffold: SROB_scaffold0004688
AUCCAGCUGACGAGUCCCAAAUAGGACGAAACGCGCGUCUCGAAU